rnacentral:rRNA from 1 species
AACGAACGCUGGCGGCAGGCCUAACACAUGCAAGUCGAACGCCCCGCAAGGGGAGUGGCAGACGGGUGAGUAACGCGUGGGAACCUACCUUGUGGUACGGAACAACCAAGGGAAACUUUGGCUAAUACCGUAUGAGCCCUUAGGGGGAAAGAUUUAUCGCCAUGAGAUGGGCCCGCGUAGGAUUAGCUAGUUGGUGAGGUAAUGGCUCACCAAGGCGACGAUCCUUAGCUGGUCUGAGAGGAUGACCAGCCACACUGGGACUGAGACACGGCCCAGACUCCUACGGGAGGCAGCAGUGGGGAAUAUUGGACAAUGGGCGCAAGCCUGAUCCAGCCAUGCCGCGUGUGUGAUGAAGGCCUUAGGGUUGUAAAGCACUUUCGCCGACGAAUAUAAUGACUGUAGUCGGAGAAUAAGCCCCGGCUAACUUCGUGCCAGCCGCCGCUGUAACAC